GCCCGGUUAGCUCAGUCGGAAGAGCGUGAGACUUUUAGGUUAUCCUGCCAUCUCAAUGUCAGGGGUUCGAGCCCCCUAUCGGGCG